rnacentral:rRNA from 1 species
UACAGAGGGGGCAAGCGUUGUUCGGAAUUACUGGGCGUAAAGGCGCGUAGGCGGCCUACUAAGUCGAACGUGAAAUCCCCGGGCUCAACCCGGGACUGCGUCCGAUACUGGUGGGCUUGAAUUCGGGAGAGGGAUGUGGAAUUCCAGGUGUAGCGGUGAAAUGCGUAGAUAUCUGGAGGAACACCGGUGGCGAAGGCGGCAUCCUGGACCGAUAUUGACGCUGAUGCGCGAAGCCAGGGGAGGCAAAACGGGG